rnacentral:rRNA from 1 species
GAUGAACGCUGGCGGCGUGCCUAAUACAUGCAAGUCGAGCGAACAGAUGAGGAGCUUGCUCCUCUGACGUUAGCGGCGGACGGGUGAGUAACACGUGGAUAACCUACCUAUAAGACUGGGAUAACUUCGGGAAACCGGAGCUAAUACCGGAUAAUAUAUUGAACCGCAUGGUUCAAUAGUGAAAGACGGUUUUGCUGUCACUUAUAGAUGGAUCCGCGCCGCAUUAGCUAGUUGGUAAGGUAACGGCUUACCAAGGCAACGAUGCGUAGCCGACCUGAGAGGGUGAUCGGCCACACUGGAACUGAGACACGGUCCAGACUCCCACGGGAGGCAGCAGUAGGGAAUCUUCUGCAAUGGGCGAAAGCCUGACGGAGCAACGCCGCGUGAGUGAUGAAGGUCUUCGGAUCGUAAAACUCUGUUAUUAGGGAAGAACAAAUGUGUAAGUAACUAUGCACGUCUUGACGGUACCUAAUCAGAAAGCCACGGCUAACUACGUG